UACGUAGGGUGCAAGCGUUUGUCCGGAAUUAUUGGGCGUAAAGAGCGUGUAGGCGGCUUGGAAGGUCAGCUGUGAAAACUCGAGGCUCAACCUCGAGACGUCGGUUGAAACCACCUGGCUAGAGUCCGGAAGAGGAGAGUGGAAUUCCCGGUGUAGCGGUGAAAUGCGCAGAUAUCGGGAAGAACACCCGUGGCGAAGGCGAGUCCCUGGACAACACCUGACACUGAGGC
rnacentral:rRNA from 1 species